rnacentral:lncRNA from 1 species
UUACUGACACUGACAGAAAAGCGAACAGUACAGACCAUGAUCACCUUGCACGGACGUGAAGGCUGAUCUUGGUCUGCACUGGUCACAAAGGCAAAAUCACUUGCCGCUAAUUGUUACACGAGAACAGCAGUGAGGUGAAAUGACCCGUAAACUCAAAUGAACUCGUACAAAACCUUACAAAAUUCACUCACCUUUUGUGAAUUAAUCAACGUGUUAUUCCUGGGGCACUGUUUACUAUGGUGGUUUACGCUCAGUUCACUCAGCACGUGAUUUUCAUGACUACGUAUUGUUAUUGUUAGCGCUAGCGUGGCUUUUUGGAGGGACACGUCGAAAAAUGGUUGCCGUGCAUAAUGGUGGCAUAGAUGGAAGACUAACAAACAGAACAGUGACUAGCGUGUUUUCGGAUUUGGACGUACAAGGGAUGUUGUGGCUUUGUGGCAACGAUCAAAACCAUAAGAUGACGCAAACAGAUCUUAGAUGGACGUGCUUUUAGAUUCGGAGUAUACUGGGUUGUGUCUAUAAGUGGCAAAUAUCAAGAACAUACAUACAGAUCAUGGACGAAGGUGUUGUCAGAUCUGGAGCAUAAAUGGGUUACCAUGGAAACGUACCUCUGCAUCUAGGCAAUGGUUUGGAUGACGGACGUUCAUAUGUGCAAAGUUAGAUAAAGCAGAUUUUGGGGCAUAUUGGGUGUGUAUGUUUACUUUUCUUUUCUGUGUAGACAUUAUGAUUUGUUUCUUUAUAUCUUUACACAUGCCUUCCUGUAACUAUACACUCAACAGGGUUUCCAUGGAAACAUAAGUAACAUAUAGGCAGCGGUAUAAUGGAAGAUCGACGUUCAGAUGUACAAAGUUAUACAACAGAUUUUGGAGCACAUAUAGUGUGUAUGUUUACUCUUUUUGUAGCAAAACUAUUAUAUAUUUGUUUCUUGUUUUACACAUGCCUCUUUCUCUGUAUCUAUACACUCAACAGGGUUUCCAUGGAAAAGUACGUUCACAUCUAGGCAAUAGUGUAAUGAAUGAUCGCCGUUCAGAUGUACACAGUUAUACAACAGAUUUUGGACCAUUUAGGUAGUGUAUGUAUAUUUUUCCUUUUUUGUGUAAACAUUUUGAUAUGUUUCUUUCUGUCUUUAAACAUGACUUUCAGUAUCUGUACACACAACAGGGUUACCAUGGAAACGUACCUCUACAGCUAGGGAACGGUAGUAAAGGAUGACCGACGUGCAGAUGAGCAAAGUUAUACAGCAGAUACUGGAGCAUAUUGGGAUGUGUAUAUAUACUUUUUCUUCUUUUGUGGCAACACUUUGAUAUGUUUGUUUUUCGUGUUACAAUGCCUCUCUAUACACUCAACAGGGUUACCAUGGAAACGUACCUCUACAUCUAGGCAAUGAAAUAAAUGGAUGUCUGACGGUCACAGGUGCAAAGUUAUACAACAGAAUUUGGAGCAUAUAGGUAGUGUAUGUUUACUUUGUCCUUUCUUGUGCAUACAUUAUGAUUUGUUUCUUUCUGCUCUUUACACAUGCCUCUCUGUAUCUAUAGAUAUAACAGGGUUACCAUGGAAGCUUACAGUCUAAAUCCAGGCAAUGGUAUAAUUGGAUGACCGACGUUCAAGACUACAAACAGCAGUGAGAGAAAUAUUGCAACCGAUCACGUGGUAAACGGUUAACUUAGUCUAAAUCUAACUAAGACAUGUAAGCGAAUUCAGGUGAAAAUUGAAUUUAAAACAAAUGUCUAGAUAAUCGGUGCGCUUAUUGAUAACCCAGUAUAUGUAUGUUUUUGUUUCGUAACACCGUUCUGUCAUUGAUUUGUUUACAAUGGCUACUUGGUGGUGAUGUAGUGGUGGUGCGUUUGUGUCAGUGGUGGUGUUUGUGGCGGCGUUUUAGUGUUUGUGUUGGUGUUUUAAUGUUUGUGGUGGUGUUUUAGUGUUUGUUCCGGUGUUUUAGAGUUUGUGGUGGUGUUGUGGUGGUGUUUAGUGUUCAUGGCGGUGUUUUGGUGUUAGUGUUGGUGUUUUAGCGUUUGUAACGGUGUUUAUAUGUCUGUGGUGGUGUUUAUGACGGUGUUUUUUAGUGUUCGUGGUGGUGUUUUCAUUGUGGUCUUCGUGUUCUGUUUUGUCAAAAAAGUUUUUGUCUGUUGUUGCGAGUUGUUUGUAGCGUUGGGUUUUUGGUCUUUCUUUCCGUUACAAGGUGUUUUUCUUUCCACCAUUAGCAAUAUAUUAUUGCUUGAUUUAUUCCUGAAUAAUCUAAAUAUUGAGGCAUGUUUUAAAAUUUUUACUUGUCCCAUCAAUUUCAGAUAGCUUCAAAGACAUACCAUGAAAUACGUAGACGACAGACAUAACGUGCAGAUGGCAUCUGAGUAAACGCGCGCAAUUGUUCUGUUUUAUUUCAGCUUUUUGUUCUGUUUGUUUCGUAUUGCUGUUUUCUUCUACUAGAAUGUCGGGGUAUUUGGAGAAUAAAGACACAGACGGAUGUGGAAAUGCUGAUCAAACAAAAUGUGCGUUUCUUUUUACCGAGACAGGUACGUAUUACUACUUAUAUUAUCCUGUUUUAUAAGCAUUUCUCUACAGAUGUUUCCAGAACUGGUAGCUGAUGUUGACUACAAGCACGUGCGAAGAUAUAAUGUUGUAGAUAUCACAAUGGCUUAGUGGAUGGUGCAGCUAUGGAGCUUGAUAUUGACUACAAGCACGUUUACGGAAGUCAAGAGGUAGAAUUCACGGUGGUAUAACGAACAGUGCAGCUCUGGCUGAUGAUGCUGGCUAUACAAGCACGUGUAAGGCCGUCAUUUUGGAGAUUUCACAAUGGUUUAGUGGACAGUGCAGCUUUGCCUUUUCUCUGAGCAGAAUGAGAAAGAUCGGGGCGAUUUUCCUCCGGAGAAAUUCAAGAGCUUAUGAAUGCGCAUACAGUUUCUGGCUUCGAUGAAGUAAAACUCGAAGUAUUGGAUGAGAAAGUGAGAACUAUUCCAAGAGAAGCGACUUCUUGGACCAUACAUACACGAAGAAAAUUUUAGUUGAUGGAACUACAGUUACUAUAGGACUGCUUUGCUGGUACCAUGAAGAUACCGAUAACCAGAGGUGCCCUGACACCCUAUCGAUGCCGAUCACCAGAGACGCGCUGGUACCCUUUUGAGGGUGUACAUCAGAGAUAUAGUAAUAAGGUCGAAAAAGGCAAGAAGACAGUGUUUGAUAUUAUUGAAAGACAUAGAAAAAGAACAGAUUGCAGAAAAGAAAUAUCAUUUUGCCGCCGUGUGCUUGUUCGACAGCUGACAGUCCGAUGCAUAUCAGCUUGAUUUCAAACACACAAGUGAGAAAUAUCUACAAAUGGACAAAUCCAGUAUGAUGAAUCCACGACAGACCUGGUACAAGCAUAAGAGCAUGACACCACCACAGCCGCCCUGAUACAAGCAUUGAUUAGACAAAAACUGACAUUGUAUAUAAUUAUACUCCCACGUACAAAGUAUAUGGGGCUAUAUAGGAGUCACACAUGUCUACCGGUCCGUUCGUCAGUUGUA